rnacentral:rRNA from 1 species
ACGGGUGAGUAAUGUCUGGGGAUCUGCCCGAUAGAGGGGGAUAACCACUGGAAACGGUGGCUAAUACCGCAUAACGUCGCAAGACCAAAGAGGGGGACCUUCGGGCCUCUCACUAUCGGAUGAACCCAGAUGGGAUUAGCUAGUAGGCGGGGUAACGGCCCACCUAGGCGACGAUCCCUAGCUGGUCUGAGAGGAUGACCAGCCACACUGGAACUGAGACACGGUCCAGACUCCUACGGGAGGCAGCAGUGGGGAAUAUUGCACAAUGGGCGCAAGCCUGAUGCAGCCAUGCCGCGUGUAUGAAGAAGGCCUUCGGGUUGUAAAGUACUUUCAGCGGGGAGGAAGGCAGUGAGGUUAAUAACCUUACUGAUUGACGUUACCCGCAGAAGAAGCACCGGCUAACUCCGUGCCAGCAGCCGCGGUAAUACGGAGGGUGCAAGCGUUAAUCGGAAUUACUGGGCGUAAAGCGCACGCAGGCGGUCUGUUAAGUCAGAUGUGAAAUCCCCGGGCUUAACCUGGGAACUGCAUUUGAAACUGGCAGGCUUGAGUCUCGUAGAGGGGGGUAGAAUUCCAGGUGUA